AACGAACGCUGGCGGCAGGCUUAACACAUGCAAGUCGAACGCCCGUAGCAAUACGGGAGUGGCGGACGGGUGAGUAACGCGUGGGAACGUACCCUGAGGUACGGAAUAACCGAGGGAAACUUCGGCUAAUACCGUAUGAGCCCCGCAAGGGGGAAGAUUUAUCGCCUUGGGAGCGGCCCGCGUCGGAUUAGCUAGUUGGUGGGGUAACGGCCUACCAAGGCUUCGAUCCGUAGCUGGUCUGAGAGGACGAUCAGCCACACUGGGACUGAGACACGGCCCAGACUCCUACGGGAGGCAGCAGUAGGGAAUAUUGGACAAUGGGGGGAACCCUGAUCCAGCCAUGCCGCGUGAGGGAAGAAGGUCCUCUGGAUUGUAAACCUCUUUUGGCAGGAACAAACCUGCGCUAUACGCGCAGCUGAGGGUACCUGCAGAAUAAGCACCGGCUAACUCCGUGCCAGCAGCCGCGGUAAAGUAGUCGU
rnacentral:rRNA from 1 species